rnacentral:rRNA from 1 species
GUGGGGAAUAUUGGACAAUGGGCGGAAGCCUGAUCCAGCAACGCCGCGUGAGGGAUGACGGCCUUCGGGUUGUAAACCUCUUUCAGCGGGGACGAAGCGCAAGUGACGGUACCCGCAGAAGAAGCACCGGCCAACUACGUGCCAGCAGCCGCGGUAAUACGUAGGGUGCGAGCGUUGUCCGGAAUUAUUGGGCGUAAAGGGCUCGUAGGCGGUUUGUCGCGUCGGGAGUGAAACCACCGGGCUUAACUCGGUGCUUGCUUUCGAUACGGGCAGACUAGAGGUAUUCAGGGGAGAACGGAAUUCCUGGUGUAGCGGUGAAAUGCGCAGAUAUCAGGAGGAACACCGGUGGCGAAGGCGGUUCUCUGGGAAUAUCCUGACGCUGAGGAGCGAAAGUGUGGGGAGCGAACAGG